rnacentral:rRNA from 1 species
UACUCCUACGGGAGGCAGCAGUGGGGAAUAUUGGACAAUGGGCGCAAGCCUGAUCCAGCCAUACCGCGUGGGUGAAGAAGGCCUUCGGGUUGUAAAGCCCUUUUGUUGGGAAAGAAAUCCAGCUGGCUAAUACCCGGUUGGGAUGACGGUACCCAAAGAAUAAGCACCGGCUAACUUCGUGCCAGCAGCCGCGGUAAUACGAAGGGUGCAAGCGUUACUCGGAAUUACUGGGCGUAAAGCGUGCGUAGGUGGUCGUUUAAGUCCGUUGUGAAAGCCCUGGGCUCAACCUGGGAACUGCAGUGGAUACUGGGCGACUAGAGUGUGGUAGAGGGUAGCGGAAUUCCUGGUGUAGCAGUGAAAUGCGUAGAGAUCAGGAGGAACAUCCAUGGCGAAGGCAGCUACCUGGACCAACACUGACACUGAGGCACGAAAGCGUGGGGAGCAAACAGGAUUAGAUACCCUGGUAGUCCACGCCCUAAACGAUGCGAACUGGAUGUUGGGUGCAAUUUGGCACGCAGUAUCGAAGCUAACGCGUUAAGUUCGCCGCCUGGGGAGUACGGUCGCAAGACUGAAACUCAAAGGAAUUGACGGA